rnacentral:rRNA from 1 species
AUAAAAAACCAACGCCCUUCGGGGCUCCUUGGUGAAUCAUAAUAACUAAGCGAAUCGCAUGGCCUUGCGCCGGCGAUGGUUCAUUCAAAUUUCUGCCCUAUCAACUUUCGAUGGUAAGAUAGUGGCUUACCAUGGUGGCAACGGGUAACGGGGAAUUAGGGUUCGAUACCGGAGAGGGAGCCUGAGAAACGGCUACCACAUCCAAGGAAGGCAGCAGGCGCGCAAAUUACCCAAUCCCGACACGGGGAGGUAGUGACAAUAAAUACUGAUACGGGGCUCUUUUGGGUCUCGUAAUUGGAAUGAGUACAAUCUAAAUCCCUUAACGAGGAACAAUUGGAGGGCAAGUCUGGUGCCAGCAGCCGCGGUAAUUCCAGCUCCAAUAGCGUAUAUUAAAGUUGUUGCAGUUAAAAAGCUCGUAGUUGAACCUUGGGUCUGGCUGACCGGUCCGCCUCACCGCGAGUACUGGUUCGGCUGGGCCUUUCCUUCUGGGGAACCUCAUGGCCUUCACUGGCUGUGG